GCAUAACGCGAAGAACCUUACCUGGGUUUGACAUGCACCGGACGCGUCUAGAGAUAGGCGUUCCCUUGUGGCCGGUGUGCAGGUGGUGCAUGGCUGUCGUCAGCUCGUGUCGUGAGAUGUUGGGUUAAGUCCCGCAACGAGCGCAACCCUCGUCCCAUGUUGCCAGCACGUUAUGGUGGGGACUCAUGGGAGACUGCCGGGGUCAACUCGGAGGAAGGUGGGGAUGACGUCAAGUCAUCAUGCCCCUUAUGCCCAGGGCUUCACACAUGCUACAAUGGCCAGUACAGAGGGCUGCGAGACCGUGAGGUGGAGCGAAUCCCUUAAAGCUGGUCUCAGUUCGGAUCGGGGUCUGCAACUCGACCCCGUGAAGUUGGAGUCGCUAGUAAUCGCAGAUCAGCAUUGCUGCGGUGAAUACGUUCCCGGGUCUUGUACACACCG
rnacentral:rRNA from 1 species